rnacentral:rRNA from 1 species
CGCGUAGGCGGGAUCGUAAGUCAGGGGUUUAAUCACGGGGCCUAACCCCGUGGCCGCCCCUGAUACUGCGGUUCUUGGGUAGGAUAGGGGCUUGGGGAACACCUGGUGUAGCGGUGGAAUGCGUAGAUAUCAGGUGGAACACCAGUGGCGAAGGCGCCAAGCUGGGUCCAUACCGACGCUGAGGCGCGAAAGUGCAGGUAGCGAACAGGAUUAGAUACCCUGGUAGUCUGCACCGUAAACGAUGUCAACUAGGCGCUUGUCCGCGAGGAUGGGUGCCGCAGCUAACGCAUUAAGUUGACCGCCUGGGGAGUACGCCCGCAAGGGUGAA